GACGAACGCUGGCGGCGUGCUUAACACAUGCAAGUCGUACGGUAAGGCCCUUUCGGGGGUACACGAGUGGCGAACGGGUGAGUAACACGUGAGUAACCUGCCCACAACUUUGGGAUAACGCUAGGAAACUGGUGCUAAUACUGGAUAUGUGCUCCUGCUGCAUGGUGGGGGUUGGAAAGCUCCGGCGGUUGUGGAUGGACUCGCGGCCUAUCAGCUUGUUGGUAGGGUAGUGGCCUACCAAGGCGGCGACGGGUAGCCGGCCUGAGAGGGUGACCGGCCACAGUGGGACUGAGAUACGGCCCAGACUCCUACGGGAGGCAGCAGUGGGGAAUAUUGCACAAUGGGCGCAAGCCUGAUGCAGCAACGCCGCGGGCGGGAUGACGGCCUUCGGGUUGUAAACCGCUUUCAGCAGGGACGAAGCUUUUUGUGACGGUACCUGCAGAAGAAGCACCGGCUAACUACGUG
rnacentral:rRNA from 1 species